rnacentral:rRNA from 1 species
UACGUAGGGGGCAAGCGUUGUCCGGAUUUAUUGGGCGUAAAGAGCGUGUAGGCGGCUUUGCAAGUCCGUUGUGAAAACUCGAGGCUCAACCUCGAGACGCCGGUGGAAACUGCAAAGCUAGAGUCCGGAAGAGGAGAGUGGAAUUCCUGGUGUAGCGGUGAAAUGCGCAGAUAUCAGGAAGAACACCCGUGGCGAAGGCGGCUCUCUGGGACGGUACUGACGCUGAGACGCGAAAGCGUGGGGAGCGAUCAGG